GGAAAACAAGAAGAAGUGAAAACUCACCUGAUCCAGACUCUGCUCUGCUGCUAAAUGGAGUCUGAACUGGUUAGUCCUGAUCCUGAUCCAUACCUGAGGCUCCGCCCCCUUCCAGGAAAUCAUUUCAGGAAGGAACCAGAAGAUUCAGGAGUCUGGGAGAUGUGACUGUAACCGACCUGAAAACUGAGGCCCCAGAGCGCCCCCUGCAGGAUCUGCUGCACCAUCACCGUUUCCAGCAGCAAAUCAAUCAUCUGUUGGUCCAGACAGAAAAGCUGAAGCUGUCAGUGAAGCAGAUCUGAAGCUGAGCAUCAGAAACCCAGAAGAACCGGAAGCAUCAGCAGGAGAUGAACUGGACCUCUAGGAUUACUGAUGCUGCAGCUGAGGAAGAGGAGGACGAUGAAGGUGAAGCUGCCAUCCUCACACUUCCUGUUUAUCAACCCAAGAAAGCAGAAAACCUGCAGAAAAUCAGCUGAAGAAGAACCACGAGGAGCUGGAGACGACCUGCGCCCUCUAGUGGCUGAUUGAACUACUGCACUGGGAGAACUGGACCUUGACGCUACUGCAGCUCAGCGGCUGGUUUCUCUCUGAAUGGACCAAUCAGAACCAAACAGGAAGUAGAUUCAGCUCUGAGACAACUAUUUACAACUACAUACUUACACAUAUGUACAACAUUUUAGUGUUUCUAAACACUUUUAUUUAGAAAAACAUAAAAAACUAUCAGCAGUUUUCAGAGGAAAGUUUUAAAACAUUAAAACUUAACCUUUGAAAUCAAACCAUAUAAUUGUUUACUGAAAUAUUUCUUCAUUGCUCCUGUAACAAUAAAACGUAAUAAAUA